GUCUUCGUGGUGUAGUGGUCAGCACGCUCGGCUCGUAUUCAAUAGGCCUGUGGUUCGAGUCUCAGCGAAGGCG
rnacentral:tRNA from 1 species